rnacentral:rRNA from 1 species
GACGAACGCUGGCGGCGUGCUUAACACAUGCAAGUCGAACGGUGAAGCGCCUUCCUUGCUGGUCGGUGUGGAUGAGUGGCGAACGGGUGAGUAACACGUGAGUAACCUGCCCCCUCCUGCAGGAUAACCGCAUGAAAGUGUGGAUAAUACGGGAUAUUCUGGGUCUGACGCAUGAUGGGUCUGGGAAAGAUAUUGUGUCGGUGGGGGAUGGGCUCGCGGCCUAUCAGCUUGUUGGUGGGGUGACGGCCUACCAAGGCGGUGAUGGGUAGCCGUCCUGAGGGGGUGGACCACCCUGCUGGUACUGAGCCGCCGACCCUACUCCUACGGGCAGCAGCAGUGGGUAUUAUUCCACAGUCGGAGCCAGGCUGAUGCAGCGCCGCCGCGUUGGUGAUGGUCUCCUUCUGGUAGUGAUCUUCUAUCGGCAAUGAACCAGGCUUGACUCGUCUGUGGGUGGGUUGACGGUAGCUGGAUAAGAAGCGCCGGCUAACUACGUG